GAAAUGCGAUAAGUAGUGUGAAUUGCAGAAUUCAGUGAAUCAUCGAAUCUUUGAACGCACAUUGCGCCCCUUGGUAUUCCAUGGGGCAUGCCUGUUCGAGCGUCAUUUGUACCCUCAAGCUCUGCUUGGUGUUGGGUGUUUGUCCCGUCUCCGCGCGUGGACUCGCCCCAAAGUGAUUGGCAGCCGGCGUACUGGUCCCGGAGCGCAGCACAUGUCGCGCAAACGAGUGCCUUGGUAAGGCGGCGUCCAUAAGCCCCUCUCUCACGCUCUUGACCUCGGAUCAGGUAGGGAUACCCGCUGAACUUGAGC
rnacentral:misc_RNA from 1 species